rnacentral:rRNA from 1 species
CCUACGGGUGGCUGCAGUGGGGGAUAUUGCACAAUGGGGGAAACCCUGAUGCAGCGACGCCGCGUGGGCGAAGAAGUAUUUCGGUAUGUAAAGCCCUAUCAGCAGGGAAGAAGAAAUCACGGUACAUGAGUAAGCAGCACUGGCCAAAUACGUGACAGCAGCCGCGGUAAUACGUAUGGUGCAAGCGUUAUCCGGAUUUACUGGGUGUAAAGGGAGCGCAGGCGGCACGGCAAGCCUGAUGUGAAAGCCCGCGGCCCAACCGCGGGACUGCAGUUGGAACUAGCGGGCUGGAGUGACGGAGAGGUAGGCGGAAUUCGUAGUGUAGCGGUGAAAUGCGUAGAUAUUAGGAGGAACACCAGUGGUGAAGGCAGCCUACUGGACGGUAACUGACGCUGAGGCUCGAAAGCGUGGGGAGCAAACAGGAUUAGAUACCCCUGUAGUC